AGAAGGAAAAGAGAGAGAUAUAGAGAAGGAAAUAGAGAAAGAGAGGAGACAUGAUUUGAUUGUUAUUGUUGAUUCUUUUUCUGUUUUUUCUUCUUCUCUUCACGAACUU
rnacentral:ribozyme from 13 species